rnacentral:rRNA from 1 species
CCUUAUUAAGCACCAAGGAGCAGGUAUCAGGCACAACUGUUUAGCCCAAAACACCUUGCUACGCCACACCCACACGGGUACCCAGCAGUGAUAAAUAUUAAGCAAUGAGUGAAAGCCAACCUUAGCUCGACUUAGUUAUGAUCAUUAGGGCCGGUAAACCUCGUGCCAGCCACCGCGGUUAUACGAGGGGCCCAAAACAACAGAUAUCGGCGUAAAUUGUGGCUAGAGCACCUCUUGUAACGCUGAAAAAUGAACGAAAGUCUAAUCGUAAAACCUAGACCAAAAGAAACACAUACUUUCAGCUUAAAGCAACUUGAACCCACGAAGACUGAGAAACAAACUAGGAUUAGAUACCCUACUAUGCUUAGUUGUUAAUAUGACACCAAAAAACACCACUGUCCGCCAGAGAAUUACACGCGAAAAGCUUAAAACUCAAAGGACUUGGCGGUGCUCCGUAUUCGUCUUAGAGGAGCCUGUCCUAUAAUCGAUAACCCACGCUUUACCUUACCAUCUUUUGCUAACAGCCUAUAUACCGCCGUCGCAAACUUACCCCAUGAGGGCACAAUAGUAAGUAAAAUAGUAACACACUAACACGUCAGGUCAAGGUGUAGCUAACAAGAUGGAAGAGAUGGGCUACAUUUUCUAAAACAGAAUACAC